rnacentral:lncRNA from 1 species
UGAUACCAAAAACUAACAAGUUAAGAGAUUACUUGACUUCAUGAAAUAAAUAAUUAAAUUAUUGAGAUCUUUUAUUUCAAAUAUAUAGUGACUGCUAAAAUGAUAAAAUGUGUUCAUGUAAAGAUAACAGUUGAAGUGCCUCACAUGAAUUCACUAAAUUACUUACUAUAAAACUUAAAAUAAAUUCUUCAAAGUAGCAGAAAUAAAAUAAGAAGCGAUCCACAACUUCCAAUUCCACAUAAUUAAAAAUUUAAAUGACAAAUUAAAAAAAAAACAAUAUAAUAGAAAAAGAGAGAGAGAAAAAAUAACUAAAUGGAAGAGAUUCUAGCUGGUGUGAAUUAAGCUAAUUAAGAAAUGAAUUAAGGCUAUGCAGCUUUUGCUGUUGAACCAAGGUAGCAACAACAGCUAGUAUUAUGUGAAAGAUCAUCAUCGUCAUCACGAUCAUGCAUGACGUCAUCAUCCAGAUCUCUAUUAUUGUUCUUAUGAUUAUCACCCUCACCUUUGAUUGAUGAAGAAGAAGAAUCCAUCUCAAAAUUCCAAAGGGUACCCACCAUUUGUUCUUGAUUUGCAUGCACAACAACACUUUCUCUGGCCAUUGAUGAUGAUGAUCUUUGCUUCUUCAUGGUCUUCCUUCUCCGUUGAUCUGCCAUCCUACAAAAAAAUCAAUAAAAUUAUUCUGCUUAAAUAAUUAAAAAAAAAGAAAAUAAAAGAUAAAAGAGUAAUAGUAGCAGGCAGGUUCAACAUUGACUGCUUUUUUUUUUUUCUUUUUGUUUGGAGCAAUGGAAGAAUAUUGAAAGUUUGAAACAUAAAGUCCAAAAAGCAAAGAUCUCGAACAUCAAUGAUACCCAUAACUAAAUUCUUAACCAAAUCCUUCUCUCUCCUUCUCUGCCUCCGCCACGUGCCUCUUUUUCUCUCUCACUCUCCUCCCUGUCUCAGCCACAUGGCUCUUGCCUUCCUCCUCGUCACCCCAGUGGGAAACUACGUGGAAGGCAAUAUGAUAGCCUCGCGCUGAGCAUUGUCGAGACGGUGCAUGGUGUCCUCUUGGACACCAAAUGCUGCAGAGGACCCAUCAUAGAUCUCAGGGACACCGAUCCUGCCAGAAAUUGAGGAUAGUUUUUUUUAGACUUUUAAAAAAAAUAUGAUUAUAAUUAUGCAAUGAUUUAUGUGUCAAAAAUUCUAAAUUCAUAAUUAAAAAUUAAAUUAUAGUACAUACAAAAAAAUUCUAUAAUAAAUAUGUUAAAUUUAUGGAUUUACAGCAUCCAUGAUCAAGAAAUUAAUUAAUUUUUUAUGAAUUAAUAUUAUUAUUACUUUAAUAUUUGGGAUUGAGAGACAUUAAUUUAAACACUGGUAUUAUUGUUAUUAUUUAUUUUAAAAUCACAAUAUAUAUCGUAUAAGUGAUUUUAACCAGAAGGCAGUAUAUAUAUAAGACUACAAUGUCAAUAAUAUAAUGUGUGCAUUCACAUAGUUAAAAUUGGAGGAACACCGUAAGUGGCGAAUAACAGGAAAGCAACGCACAACAUACAUUGAAUAAGACGCAUAUCAAUUGAUUCAAAUUAAAAAAAAUUGAUGUGAUAUGCCAAUAUUAAGUAACAACAAGUAAUAAUGAAAUUAAUUAUUACUUAAUGAUUUAGUUAUGGCCUGAUACCACUUGUUGGAAUUUUUUUAGAAUUUCUUAGUCUAAAAAUUAUCAUGUUAAAUCAUUAAGAAAGAAAAUACUAGAUGCGGAAGCGUACCUGAAUUCAUAAACAAAAAUUAUGAUAGGUUUUUCCGAUAUUUCUCAAUCAAAACCUUCUGUAUAGGAAAGCAACACACAACAUACAUUGAAUAAGACGCAUAUCAAUUGAUUCAAAUUAAAAAAAAUUGAUGUGACAUGCCAAUAUUAAGUAACAACAAAUAAUAAUGAAAUUAAUUAUUACUUAAUGAUUUAGUUAUGGAUGGCCUGAUACCACUUGUUGGAAUUUUUUUAGAAUUUCUUAGUCUAAAAAUUAUCAUGUUAAAUCAUUAAGAAAGAAAAUACUAGAUGCGGAAGCGUACCUGAAUUCAUAAACAUAAAUUAUGAUUGGAAGAGUUUGGAUUUUGUGGUUUUUCCGAUGUUUCUCAAUCAAAACCUACUGUAUCAGUAGGCGGCAGAAUUACAACUCUUUUGACGGAGAGAGAAACAAAGGCGGUUUGGUAGAUUGGGGACCGAAACCUGAAGGCCUAUUUUUUAUUUGAGCAUGACACCCAUUAAACCCUAAAACCCAAAUAAAAUAGUAUCUAAAAUCCAAAAAUAAUAUAUCUAAAGUCCAAAAGAUAAUUAUCUAAAGAACAAAAGAUAAUAUCGGGUUUUAUUCUCAUUUAAUUCCAAAUCAAAAGUAACUAUGACUUAUUCAAUUUAGCAUUUAUAACAAUAAAUGAAAUCACCAUUAUAUAAGUCAUUUAAUUUAAAAUAACAUAAUUUAUAAUUAUAAUUAAUAUAUGUAUUGCCUACAAAUAAAUUAAAAAAUUAAAAUAAUUUUCUAACAGUGCCAUUAGUUACCAAUAAUACAAAUAGAUUAUCACCGAAAGAGUGAUUAUGGUAUAACCAUAAAUAAGAGAAGAUAUAGUAAAAAAUUUUUAAAUAAUUUAAUAUAUUUAACUAAAUUAUUUAGUCUAAAUCGCUUUGUUUCUUUAUUAGUUUUAUACUUUUUAUCUUAAAUUUUUGGGCAUGUGAGUCCUGAUUUUAUUGUAUCAUAAAACUAUCAUUCUAAAUAAAAUUAAACUUUUAGACAGAGGUGCAUAAAAGAAUUUAGGAUUCUUUAGUACUGUUUUUGGUGUAGCAUGGGUCAAGAGAAGGUUCACACUAACAUAGUUGUGAUUAGUCCAUUAUAAUUCUUAAAUUUCUCAUAAAUAAAAUUUUUAUAUAAUUAUUUAGUAAAAAAUAUCGAUAUAAUUUAUAAAUAUGAGAUAAUUUUUUAUUUUAUGAACUAGUUUUUGAGUUGAGUUAGACCUAUUUAAUUUAAUUUUAAUAUGGUAUUAGUAUCUAUCCAAUCUAAUGUUAUUUGAUCACCUAUUUGCAAAUGUUCACAUUUCUGUUGAUCAGUUUUCACCAGUCUGUGGAGUCUUGCAAUGAUGCUCUUCUUUGAUGUGAAUCAAAUGAUCUUUUGCUACAAGGUAUUGGUUGGCCUUCCAAAUUUAAGCUAAGAAGUUCUUACAUAAAAAAAAUCUGGCAAUUAUAUUUUGGUUCUGGAUAAAGUUUGUUUAAAAUAUUGGUACAUUGAGUGGGAUUAAUAACAUGUAUUGUAUUGUAUUAUAAUUAUUAAUCAUCAAAUACCACUUAGUUUCAUUAUUCAAACAUCAGAUAGGAGGAUCAAAAUAUAAGUACAGAGUAUCCUUGGUUAAUGUCUUGUGCAGGUGGAUACAACAACACCAAAGUACUCCAUCUCUGUUGAUCAAAUCCUAAAGGAAGUUUCGUCUUAUUUGAAGAAAUUUCUUUAAGAGAAUGCAUCCUUUUAAUUUUUCUUUUUUACUGGUAUUGUCAAUUGUAAUUUUUCACCAUACACUAAUAUUAUUUUUUUUAAUACGACUCAAUAAUCUGAUUGAAAUCUUAUUAAAAGAGCAUAAGUGUACUCACAAAUUCUUUUAUUUGUAGAGUUCAAAUUCAAGAUCUCUCAUUAAAAAAUCAAAAUACUGUUAAAAAAAUCUAAAAAAAAGAUAAAAAGAAAAGAAGAUUAUUACUUCUUUCUCUUUUUAGGCCUAACUAAAUAAAAUAGAAUAAUAAUAUAAGGGGAGAAUCAAUCUCUUAAUUUAACUUUCUACUUCAAUAAAUCUUCAAUAAAUAAGUAUAAUCAUUCUCAUACAAUAAAUUUUAGAAUCAAUUUAGACAAAUCAUGUGAUACCAAAAACUAACAAAUUAAGAGAUUACUUGACUUCAUGAAAUAAAUAAUUAAAUUAUUGAGAUCUUUUAUUUCAAAUAUAUAUAGUGACUGCUAAACUGAUAAAGAUGUGUUCAUGUAAAAAUAACAGUUGAAGUGUCUCACAUGAAUUCACUAAAUUACUUACUAUAACACUUAAAGUAAAUUCUUCAAAGGAGCAGAAAUAAAAUAAGAAGCGAUCCACAACUUCCAAUUCGACAUAAUUAAAAACAAAUGACAAAUUAAAAAAAAUAAUAUAAUAGAGAAAGAGAGCGAGAAAAAACAACUAAAUGGAAGAGAUUCUAGCUGGUGUGAAUUAAGCUAAUUAAGAAAUGAAUUAAGGCUAUGCAGCUUUUGCUGUUGAACCAAGGUAGCAACAACAGCUAGUAUUAUGUGAAAGAUCAUCAUCGUCAUCAUGAUCAUGCAUGACGUCAUCAUCCAGAUCUCUAUUAUUGUUCUUAUGAUUAUCACCCUCACCUUUGAUUGAAGAAGAAGAAGAAGAAGAAUCCCUCUCAAAAUUCCAAAGGGUAUCCACCAUUUGUUCUUGAUUUGCAUGCACAACAACACUUUCUCUGGCCAUUGAUGAUGAUGAUCUUUGCUUCUUCAUGGCCUUCCUUCUCCGUUCAUGAUCUGCCAUCCUACAAAAAAAUCAACAAAUUAAUUCUGCUUGAAUAA